rnacentral:rRNA from 1 species
GACGAACGCUGGCGGCGUGCUUAACACAUGCAAGUCGAACGGAAAGGCCCUGCUUGCAGGGUACUCGAGUGGCGAACGGGUGAGUAACACGUGGGUGAUCUGCCCUGCACUUCGGGAUAAGCCUGGGAAACUGGGUCUAAUACCGGAUAGGAGCCAUUUUUAGUGUGAUGGUUGGAAAGUUUUUUCGGUGUAGGAUGAGCUCGCGGCCUAUCAGCUUGUUGGUGGGGUAAUGGCCUACCAAGGCGGCGACGGGUAGCCGGCCUGAGAGGGUGGACGGCCACAUUGGGACUGAGAUACGGCCCAGAUUCCUACGGGAGGCAGCAGUGGGGAAGAUUGCACAAUGGGCGCAAGCCUGAUGCAGCGACGCCGCGUGGGGGAUGACGGCCUUCGGGUUGUAAACUCCUUUCGCUAGGGACGAAGCUUUUUGUGACGGUACCUAGAUAAGAAGCACCGGCUAACUACGUG